rnacentral:lncRNA from 1 species
ACGUUAAAGGUGAACUGCAUUUCAGUCGGUUUAAAACCUCACAGUGUAUACACUUGCAUGUGCACGUGUGAGGAACGUGAGAGAGCAAGGGCAAGGUUACGGUUCUUGAACUUGUCCAGUGUGGUCAAAGUAUCCAGGUGGGGAGCAGGUAUCUUUUCCUGGUUGAUUCUACUAGCGGAGGUCAUAAAACGUUCGUCCUUCGUAUCGUCAAGACAUCCUAUUCUCUUACUCGCUCAUCUACUUGUCUUCCCCUUUUAUUUCUUCAAUAUUAUAUUAGUAAUAAAAUCAAUCGAAAUUGAUCUCUCAAAUCAGCAGUGUGUAAUCAAUGUUUUCAAUAAAUAUGAGAUUGUUCAAGACAA